AAUGUACUCCCUCCGUUCCAAAUUACUCGUCGCAGAAAUGGAUGUAUCUAGAACUAAAAUACAUCUAGAUACAUCCAUACUUGCGACAAGUAAUUCGUAACGGAGGGAGUAUUAU
rnacentral:pre_miRNA from 1 species